rnacentral:miRNA from 1 species
UGGGGUGGGGGAGGGUGUAGAGGCUGGGCUAGCAGGCUCGUCACAGCCUCUGCUUCUUCUCAG